rnacentral:rRNA from 1 species
GCCCAGACUCCUACGGGAGGCAGCAGUGAGGAAUAUUGGUCAAUGGGCGAGAGCCUGAACCAGCCAAGUCGCGUGAGGGAGGACGGCCCUACGGGUUGUAAACCUCUUUUGCCGGGGGACAAACGGCGGCACGCGUGCCGUCCUGAGGGUACCCGGAGAAAAAGCAUCGGCUAACUCCGUGCCAGCAGCCGCGGUAAUACGGAGGAUGCGAGCGUUAUCCGGAUUUAUUGGGUCUAAAGGGUGCGUAGGCGGUCCGUUAAGUCAGCGGUAAAAUUGCGGGGCUCAACCCCGUCGAGCCGUUGAAACUGGCAGACUUGAGUUGGCGAGAAGUACGCGGAAUGCGCGGUGUAGCGGUGAAAUGCAUAGAUAUCGCGCAGAACUCCGAUUGCGAAGGCAGCGUACCGGCGCCAGACUGACGCUGAGGCACGAAAGCGUGGGGAUCGAACAGGAUUAGAUACCCCCGUA